rnacentral:ncRNA from 1 species
AUCUUCGGGGCGGGGUGUAAUUCCCCACCGGCGGUAUUCAGGCUGUCAGGAACAAAAGACAGCAGGUAAGUCCGCGACCCGCGUAAAGCGGCUGAACCGGUGUGAUUCCGGUACCGACAGUUAUAGUCUGGAUGGGAGAGGAA